AGAGACUCUACGCUGAAAACAACGUAUGGAUAUUUAAAUAUGGAUUAUUAUGGAUUUACAGUAUUUGAACCAGACCGGAGUUGGUGUUUAUUGGACCCGUGCAGAGACUAACAACGUUUUGGUAUGUGUGUCUGCCUGCCAGGAGAACCGGGCCCCUCGCUUCACUACACAGGGGAUACAAUCGCUCAAUGAUUGCAUGAUGCAUUCCUCUUUGCUGCGCCGAUAGAUGAUGCAUACUGCUUGGACAGCUCUCAAAGAGAUAACUGUGCGGGAAGAUAAAGAUCCUCACUGGGGAUCUGCAGAGAACAACCACAGGCUUGUACCGACGGUCACUGAGCUGUUCCACUGGAGCAGUUAGAGCGGACUCAAACACCGGUGUCCUUGAUGAAGUCCACCAUCCGUCCCACCUGCACUGCUGCUGCUGUUUGCUUCUCUGAACUGUGGAGCGUGCAGACCGUCAUCUCCUAAUGAUGAUGAUGAUGUCAUGAUGAAGGCAGAGAUGCGUACAGCAGCAGCUGUCUUCUGUACUCGGAAAUUGAUCUCUUGAGUGUGUCAGGCAGCUAUGAGAGCGCUGCGAGCCGCGGGGUCCUGUUACCGUUCACAGGUGCGGCACGUUGACAAGUUGAUGAUGACAGCCGAGCCGAGCCGAGAUUUCUCAACCUUUGGACUUGUGGUUGUCCAAGACGGCAGCUCCUGUAUCCAGGAUUAUCCAGGACAUCCACAGUGUCUGACUGGAGCAUUAUUGGACAUGCAAACAUCAUCUAGACGUCCACCACAAAACCACGUCUGACUGGAAGCAAACACAUGACAUCACUCUCUGACCAAUGUGUGCUGUGCAGGCAUUAACGUGGAAGAAACCCAGCCCAUCCAUCUCAGCAUCACAUAAUGGCCUGAGAGAGAACACUGGAUUUGCAUCAGCACUUCCUAGUGCAGCUCAUGUUGUGUGAGUGUUACUGUGCAUAGUAAUAUGCAGUUAUUGUGUGUUAAAUCACUCACCAUGUUGACUUCUGACACCAUGUCUAUGCUGGCCACGUCUAUGCUCAUCCCGACUGCAACAGGGGCCCCUGGAAGAGGUUAAACAGCAGCAUAUGUAUAUAGGCCCACACCUCUGCACCUGACCACAACACUGUGAAUGGCGCCAAAAAUAAAGCUGCCUACGGCGUGAAGGCGAAUUGAUAAGAGGUAAAAACAGCGGACGUACCUCCAAAGUCCGGCCUCAGUCGGAUAUCAUACCCCUUCAGUAGUUUAUCCACCGUCUCCUUCACGAAAGACAUGUUGCCCGGUUCAUUGACGCUGGAAGGAGAGCAGAAAGAAGAAGAAAACAUCACCUUGACUCCGGUGCCAAUCAGACAAGGAAAUAACCUUGACUUCACACAAAUGACAAAAGCACUCACCUUUUUGCGCAACACACAAUGGAACCGACAACCAGUGCGGACAAGACGCGGAAUUGACGAACCCGGUGCAAAGCAAACAUCACCCUUUCCUAUUUUUUGCCUCUUUUCCCCCUCGUUGUUUACAACCACAACAACAGCAACAGUCGAGACGGUUCCGGACGCUCUCCAAAUCAGAGGAAAUCCAUUGAUUGCCCGAGAGGAGAAAGUCGACUGAGAGAGCAGAGGGGCUAAAAAAAAGUCAGCAGCUCGCAGUGGAUGGAGUCAGAUGUGAAAUGUGUGCAGACAUCUCCUCCCCGACAUGAACACUGGCUCCGCUUUUCUUUGCCGUCUGUGACUGUGGAGAGGCUCUUACAUUCAGGAGCUGGAGCGCAUAUUGAUGAGGAGGGUGUACAGGGAUGCUGCUGCUGGUGGCGGUGAAGGCACUCGGCUUGUUUAAAUGAGAGACGAAGCCCAACACUUACACACUGUAAAAAAUACCACCAGCUGCAGUACAGUCUGGAUACUCAGGCUGCUUAGUUUUUUAUUUAUUUAUAUAUUUAAGGAUGAAUAUUCUGACAAUUAAAGCUCAGUUGUCUUUAUUUUUUAAUGUAAAUUAACUUCUAUCCAAUGCAUAAACUGUUUUUUUUAUUUAUUGCACUGUCAAUAAAGUCCCCGGUCUAUUUGAAGUGAAA